GAUGAACGCUGGCGGCGUGCUUAACACAUGCAAGUCGAACGAAGCAUUUACGACAGAUUUCUUCGGAUUGAAGUUGUUUAUGACUGAGUGGCGGACGGGUGAGUAACGCGUGGGUAACCUGCCUUGUACUGGGGGAUAGCAGCUGGAAACGGCUGGUAAUACCGCAUAAGCGCACGAUGUCGCAUGACAUAGUGUGAAAAACUCCGGUGGUAUAAGAUGGACCCGCGUCUGAUUAGCUAGUUGGUGAGAUAACAGCCCACCAAGGCGACGAUCAGUAGCCGACCUGAGAGGGUGACCGGCCACAUUGGGACUGAGACACGGCCCAGACUCCUACGGGAGGCGGCAGUGGGGAAUAUUGCACAAUGGAGGAAACUCUGAUGCAGCGACGCCGCGUGAGUGAAGAAGUAAUUCGUUAUGUAAAGCUCUAUCAGCAGGGAAGAUAGUGACGGUACCUGACUAAGAAGCUCCGGCUAAAUACGUGCCAGCCGCCGCAGUAACAC
rnacentral:rRNA from 1 species